ACCGGCGGCUCGAGUGGUGGCCACUAUUACUGGGCUUAAAGCGUUCGUAGCUGGUUUGUUAAGUCUCUGGGGAAAUCUUCCGGCUCAACCGGAAGGCGUCUCAGGGAUACUGGCAGACUAGGGACCGGAAGAGGUGAGAGGUACUUCAGGGGUAGGAGCGAACCCCGGUAGUCCCUGAGGUGACACCUGUGGCGAAGGCGAGUAACCAGGACGGGUCCGACAGUUAGGCCGGAAAGCUGCGGGAACAAAAAG
rnacentral:rRNA from 1 species